AUGGGCCUAAAGCCCAUCUCAAAUUUCAGCCCUUUGUGGUGCAAAUGUGUGCAGGAUUCGGUGGAGGUUCACUUGACACUUGAGAGGAUUGAGGCGACAUGCUUCAAGAACCACGAUGGAGUAGCCCAUUUCAAAACUUGGAGUAGCAAGCCGGUUCUGUCGCUGCUCUAUUAUGUCAGAACAUUUGAGAGGGAUGAAAGCAAAACAGCAGCAGCAGCGAAGAUACUGCAGAACUUUCCUCACUCGUACCCUGCUCCCGCUGCUCCUGACCGUCCUACUCCUCACCGGAGCCAAUCACAACCGACGACGACAAACAGGGCAGAUUAUGAUCUUUUCUGA
rnacentral:rRNA from 1 species